rnacentral:misc_RNA from 1 species
AUUCAGCUAGCUGUGAGGAAUGAUGAGGAGCUUAGCAAACUAUUGGGAACAGUUACCAUUGCAAAUGGUGGUGUUUUGCCCAACAUCCACCAGAAUUUGUUGCCAAAGAAAAUUGGAAAAGGGAAGGGUGAUAUUGGUUCUGCGUCUCAGGAGUUUUAAGAGUAUUUAAUAUGUGAGAUUAAUGUUUUCAAGAUUUCAUAAGUUGGCUGAGAGUGGGAUCAGAGACCAGUUUUUGCCUGUGAAUUGUGAACGCAUAAAUUUUUCGGUAGGGAUCAUGAUUGAAUGCAGGAAAGGAAGCGAUUUUGUCAUAAACCAUCUAUACGUGGUGGUAUUGAACUUUUGAUUUAUAUUAUCAAUGGAAAUUAUGUUUUUAUGUUCUUAAACAGUCGCUGCAUUUUGUUUACUAGUGUGAUUUGAAAAGUCAAUGUGACGUUCUUUUGCGUGGCAAGAUUGUUAAACCCAUCAUCUGCAGUGGACAGGC